AUACGUAGGGGGCGAGCGUUGUCCGGAAUGAUUGGGCGUAAAGGGCGCGUAGGCGGCGCGGUAAGUCUGGAGUGAAAGUCCUGCUUUCAAGAUGGGAAUUGCUUUGGAUACUGUCGGGCUUGAGUGCAGGAGAGGUAAGUGGAAUUCCCAGUGUAGCGGUGAAAUGCGUAGAGAUUGGGAGGAACACCAGUGGCGAAGGCGACUUACUGGACUGUAACUGACGCUGAGGCGCGAAAGUGUGGGGAGCAAACAGGAUUAGAUACCCUGGUAGUCCACACUGUAAACGAUGAAUGCUAGGUGUAGGGGGUAUCGACCCCUUCUGUGCCGCAGUCAACACAAUAAGCAUUCCGCCUGGGGAGUACGGCCGCAAGGUUGAAACUCAAAGGAAUCGACGGGG
rnacentral:rRNA from 1 species